AGAGCCGCGGUAAUUUGACCGUGCGAAGGUAGCAUAAUCAUUUGCCUUUUAAUUGGAGGCUGGAAUGAACGGCUGGAUGAGGGAUCAAGUGUCUCUAUGUCUUAGUUAAAAUUUUACUUUUAAGUGAAAAGGCUUAAAUUUGGUUAAGUGAAGAUAAGACCCUAUAAAACUUAUAUAAGGUGAAAGCAUGUUGUUUCUAAUAGUGUUUAAGAUGAGGUGCUUUAAAUUGUAUUUUGCUGGGGCGGCAGUAAUAGAAUUAAAUAUCUGUUGUUUUUAAUAAGUUAGUGGUAGUUAAAAGGUGAGCCUUUCAUAGGGAUUAGAAGACCAAGUUACUUUAGGGAUAACAGCGUGAUUUUCCUUGAGAGAUCUGAUCGACAGGAGUAGUUGCGACCUCGAUGUUGAAUUAAAGUUUUCUACAAGGUGCAAAAGUCUUGUAAGUGAGUCUGUUCGACUUUUAAAAUUUUACAUGAUUUGAGUUCAAACCGGCGUGAG
rnacentral:rRNA from 1 species